rnacentral:rRNA from 1 species
GCAGAACGCGAAGAACCUUACCUGGGUUUGACAUUCUGGGAAAAGCCACAGAGAUGUGGUGUCCGAAAGGGUCCAGAACAGGUGGUGCAUGGCUGUCGUCAGCUCGUGUCGUGAGAUGUUGGGUUAAGUCCCGCAACGAGCGCAACCCUUGUCCUAUGUUGCCAGCACGUAAUGGUGGGGACUCGUAGGAGACUGCCGGGGUCAACUCGGAGGAAGGUGGGGACGACGUCAAGUCAUCAUGCCCCUUAUGUCCAGGGCUGCAAACAUGCUACAAUGGCUGGUACAAAGGGCUGCUAUACCGCGAGGUGGAGCGAAUCCCAAAAAGCCAGUCUCAGUUCGGAUUGGAGUCUGCAACUCGACUCCAUGAAGUCGGAGUCGCUAGUAAUCCCGGAUCAGCAACGCCGGGGUGAAUACGUUCCCGGGUCUUGUACACACCG